UUAUGAAUUCUUAAUAAAUUCUUUUAAGAAAGUAAGGGAUGGAGGACAAGAAAACCAACCGAGGAAGUAUGAGGACAAAAUGAGAUCACAAACAAAUUCAUAAAGGAAAAAAUGAGCAUGGAAAUAAGGAAAGGUCAAAAGACAUCAAAGUCAUAGACAAAUUUAUUUUUUUUCAGUAAGAGGAAAUGAAUUGAAAAUGCUUAAUGAAAAAAUAAGCAAGCAAGCACAUUCUACAAAGCAAGAAAAAAGGGAAUAAUUCCAAAAGGGAAAAAAAGAAAAUUAAAAAAGAAAAUAAUGAUGAAAAUUUGAACUGAAAAUAGAGGAAAAAUCAGAGCUCUCUAAAGAAAAACUACAACAAGCAAGAUUGUCCAAGUCCAGUAAAAAGAAAAAAGUCAGAAUAAAUGGUGAUGGCCUUGCAUGCAGAGGAUAAUGUUAGCAUCUUCUCUGUUUGACCAAGCUCUAAACACUCCAUAGCAUCUUCUUUUGCCACCCUCCCUGCUGUUGAAAAGAAUUGUUCUCCCUCCAUUCCUGCUCUAACUGAAAUGUUUUGGUAGCACUCCAGGUGAGGAGAGCACAGUAUGCCCUACCCAGUCCAGCGCAUGGCUGAAGAUCAACCCUGCACUCAGAAUUAUGCAAUUCUUCACUGUGGAAAGUAGCCUUUUCCUCUUCUUUCCCAUCCUGGUGCUGGAGCCUGUCAGGGAGAACAGGAUUCCUCAAAAAUUUCUUAUCAGUUAUUACCAAAAGCUUGAUCCCUCAGACAGGUGUGACUAGUUUGUUUUGACUGCAGUAACUUAUGCAGAACUGUUUACUAAUGUGUGGAGGUUUACAGUCUGCACCAACGAAGGGAUUGCUCAUCCGGAUGAAAUCAGAGAUAUGAAAGAUUGAAGAAUUCUUGCAAAGUACUUCACUGACAGCUCCUUCAG
rnacentral:lncRNA from 1 species